GCGGUUUCGGGGAAGAGACCGGGGUUGAGCGUCUAGCCUAGCUCAGCGUGAUUUCCGCCAGCGUUUAGAGCGUUUUCGGGGUCCGAGUUGAAGAGCAAAACCAAGUGAAGGAAACUUCACUAAGUUCAGGGUGACAAGGGAGGAAGUACAGAGAAACAGAGUGCUUAAAAAGCACUGUCUGGAUAUCUUCAGAGGGAAAAAGGAGAAAGUUAAUUGAAUUGGUGACACUUCGGGUCUCUCACAGAGGAAGAGACCACCAAACCAACAGAAGCCACCAGGACAGCACACAGCCAUUCCAAAAUUCCAGACCAGGAUCAUUCCAGAAAAGCCUUACAUCUCAGUCCAGUAUAUGGAUGGUUUUGUAAGAUGACCUAUGAUUUUUCUGUUCCUCCUUCCUGCCCCUAACUUCAGAGAAACAGACCUAGAAAGAGGGAAGGAAGGAGUGAAAAAGCGUGCCAUACUUUACCUUCUCCCCUUCUGUUUUAAACUAGACAAAUCUAUAUUUUAAUUAUUAUAAGUAACCAGAAAGUUAUAUGGUCUGGCCAGGAUGGCAUUAAAGAAAAUGAGAGAGAAAAGUUUAAGAUAGCAUGGUUGGAGACAAUAAGUAGAAGAAACCAAGUAGUUCAAGUUUUAUAACGCUCUGUCUUAUAAACACUGUUGAACCAAUAAUAAUGCUAUUACUGAAAUGCUGCACACAAUUGAAGACUACUUGUUAGACCAAGACCUUAAAAACUUCUUUACUGAUUAUUCCCAAUGUGUGGCCCUGGUAAUCAUUGAAGAAUCAUUGUAUUGACUAUUAAACAUCUAGGGAUCACCUGUUUAAAUCAAGUUAACAAAACACUUAUUUAACAAAUAUAUAUUGAUUGCCUAUUAUGAAGUAGAUGCUAUAGUAGGUGCUGGCAGUAUAAACAUGAAGAGAGACAUUGUGUGUGCAUAUUAAUAUACAGUGAAUUAAACUUCAGCCAGAGAAGUACUUUACUAGAAGGUUGAUAGAAGUGUGGUGGUAGCUCGCAGGAGGAAGCAGUUAGCCUCCUUGGAAAUGAGUAAUCUUCACAGAAAGUAUGACAUUUGACCUGCUUCUUGGAGGAGAUGCAUAUUAAACCUAUUAAAUCCAUGUCAGCCUUUAACACCUUUGCUCAGAUUAGUUUCUCGAGCUGUUUUCCCACCUGGUGAGCAGAUAAGAGCAGGACAGGAAAGUUCUGAUGAAAGGAAGAAGUGCCAGAGAGAGAAGGCCUUGCAAGGAAAGAAGCCUGACAGGCAGGAGCCCCUGAGUAUCCUAAGGAGAAGUACCAGCGAUUUAGGGAAGAAAAUUGCUGCCAGAAGUGCAGGAAAUACAAAUUCUGACCUAGAUCAUUUUACUUAUGUCUUCCCUGGUUCUAUGAAUAUAUCUUGGGGGUCCUUUUAUAAUCACAUUUCAUUAACCAGGCAAGAUUAAUCAGUGACCAGAUAAGACAGUCACUGACUCUUAAGACUUUGCAAUUUGAAACAAUGUGUACAAAUGUAUAGAGAGACAUGUAGACCAGCGGGUUUCCAACCUUUUCGGCACCAGGGACUCAUUUUUGGAAGACAAUUUUUCCAUGGGAUGGGUUGGGGGAGCAGGAGUUGGAUGUCAAGGGUGUUGGAUAUGUGGGGGGAUUGGUUUCGGGAUGAAACUGUUCCACCUCAGAUCAUCAGGCAUUAAUUAGAUUCUCAUAAGUAGUGUGCAACCUAGAUCCCUCGCAUGAGCAGUUUGCAAUAGGGUUCACACUCCUUUGAGAAUCAAAUGUGCGGCUGAUCUCAUGGGAGAUGGAGCUCAGGCAGGUGGUAAUGCUCACUCACCGCCACUCACUUCGUGCUGUGUGGCGUGGUUCCUAACAGGCCACAGACCGGUACCUGUCUGCAGCUGGGGGUUUGGGAACCCCUGAUUGUAUACCAGUAAAACAAGGACUGAUAGAGCUGCUAAUGCCAGUCUCAAAUGAGUGAAUGAGCAAAUACAGAAGUACAGUUUAAGAAAUACAGUUUAAGCAAAUACAGAAGCUCUCUUCAUCCUUAUAGCUCUCUGACGUUUUGAUGAUUCUACUUUGUAUUUUUAAGUUCCAAUUUUAAAGAGGUGUGUAAUUAAUUGAGUGUUAGUUGUGUGAUUUGGAGCAAGACUCUGAGAGAUCUCUUUUUAAAAAAAUAAUCCACAAGCUAGAAGAUUGGACUAAAUUACCACUAUGAUUCUUUUCAAAGCUAUCUUAAUUUACUACUAUUUGAAGUUACUUCAGCCAGUGCUAAUGAUACCAUAGUUGCAGAUUUGAACCACUGAGAUGCAAUUCACUUAUUUAAAAACUACUUGAUAAGGGUUUGUUGGGAGGAUUGCUAGAUAAAAUAUGGGACACUUAGUUAAAUUUGAAUUUUACAUAAAGAAUGAAGAUUUUUUAAUGUAAGUAUGUUCCAUAUAAUAUUUGAAUAUGUAAAAAUAUCCAAAUAUACUUAAAAAUUAUUUGUUAUCCAUUUGAAAUUAAAAUUUAACUAUGUGUUCUUUCAAAAUCUAGCAUUCUUACAUCUAUGUUAGCUUCAAUAUAGAAACUAGGCUCUGUGGAAGACAAAAUGGUGAAUCAGUCAUAGAUCCUUCACUCAGUCUAGAGGGGCAAAUGAGAGUCAAAUAUUAAUAAUGAUAUUACAAAGUAAAAAGUGAUGAGUUCAUGAGAAAUAUACUAAGAGAGUGCUAUAAAGGUUUGCAGGAGGGAGAAAUUACUUCCAGCCACAAAAGCAAGAGAAGAACUUGAGCUGGCCUGAGAAAGAUGGCAGGAUCAAGGCUUCUGAAUUUGGUGCCAGGAAGGGGUAAGGUCAUUUCCAGUAGAGUGAAUGGCUUGAGUAAAAGCAUGGAGAUGGGAAAGCACAGAGGAAGAGAGGACAGCUAGUCAUUUGGUUUGACUGUGGUUUGAUUGGGUAAAGGGAAAUUAAAGCAGAAAAUAUUAGAAAGGGAAGGCAGGACCAUACCAAGGGAGCCAGAGGUAGGAGGGAAGAAGGCUAGAAAUCUGAAUAAGCAAAAGAAUUUGAUUUGAUGCUUGAAGGUUUCUGAUCCAGGGUGACAAUGCAUACCAGUAGCAACAAGGGAGAGUGUAAAGAAUCAUCCCAAACAAAUGACUUCCAAGAAAAACUUGGGCUAUUAGUGUUGUUUUUAACACAUAGCUUAAGAAACAUAUUAGGUGAAAAGGAAAUACAGGUAAGUGGGAAAAUCACAAGCUUAGGUAUGAAAAGAUUCUGGGUUCAAAUCCACAUUCUCCUUCUGUAUGAUCUUCAGUUAUUUCCUAUCUGAAACUCAGUUUCCUUGCAUAUACAAAAGACUACAAAUGCUCUCAUUAUGCUUGGAAGUUAUAAGUACCACUGUAUACCUGGCAUAUAUUGGGAGCUCACUAAAGACUAAUUGCUACAUGAGUUAUUGUUUACUUAUUACUUAUUCUUCUCUAGUCUUCAGAGUAUCUUAUUUUAUUGUAGCAGGUGAAGAUGUUCCCAAGAGAUUCAAAAAAAUGUUUUUCAAAAUAUUUUUUUUAUGAAAAAAAUCUUUUUCUUAAAAUAAAAAACAGCAUAUCUAUCUGAACU